AAAAGCAAGGAAUUUGCUGAGGAAUGAUUGAUUAUUGAAAUAUGCUUGUAAUUCUUUUCCUUUAUUAUUUUUUACUUUCAAUCAGAGUUCCUGAACUAGUAGGUCAAUGCAUUUUGAAGCAGAUGGGGCAGUAAUUCAUGAAAAAUAGUGUUUAGAAAAGGUAUGCAGGUUUAAUGAAGAAAAUGGCCCUGGCUAUGAUGGGGAUUACCUUGAUUUUUGCCCUGUUACAUCAACAGAACAGAAGCCUGUGUGUAUUUUUUAAUUAUAAUCCACGGUGAGGUGUUAUGGAAGCCAGUUCAGCAUAAAAUCAUUCAUGUGAUACCUGAACUUUACUGAGGCAAAGUGUACUGUUAUCUUGGCAGAGCUCAGUGUGGCCAGUGGAUUUUGGAUGCUCCUGAAGUCAUAAUACCUAUGUACAGGCUGCGUGGUGUGAGGAAGCAGAGGGACAGCAAGAGCUGGACUCGCAGCGGAAAAGGUGUGUGCUUGAAUAUAACAGCCAAGUCAAAGUAAGCAGACCUGAAACCACUAUCACCUGGCACAGUCAGCUUGAACUUAUUUGGGAGUCAGCAGAUGUAUGGUUAAUAUUAAAUAAAGACGUGAAGAACUGU